CCCGCCCGGGGCCCCCUCUGCCGAUCGGGGCGGUCCCGGGGAUCUCCCUCCUCCCUUCCAGCUCUCGUCCUUGCAGACUCGGCGGCGCAUCCCGUACCAGGAGGCUGCUGUGCAGGAAUUCAGGCCAACUCAAGUGGGAGAGUCUUUCGGGCCUCCGUGAGUAGCAGGUUUCGGCGGUGCUGUGCCCCUGGUAGGGUUGGAGCUCGAGUCUCAGAGUUAUUUGUGUGGAUGUUCAAGCUCUCCCUGGUGAAGACGUGAGAUGAUGGUCUUGUUCCGUGAUGGGUGCUUGGAGGUGCCUGCAACAGAAACCCUAAGGGAGUUCAUGAGGGAACAAAGUUUCUUUCUCGUUUCUUGCUGAGAGCUAUUUGGGACCACAGUCGCGUCUCUGCUGCUUCUGGGGAGGGUGCGUUUGCUUGUCAAGAUUGGGAGAAGAUUCUUACCCACCCUGAAUGCUCCCUGGAUCGCCCCAAAAUGUCAUUAUCAUCAGGAGGGAAGGAAGAAUCUGUACACGAUGCUCAGCCCUGAUGUUUUAAUGGAAAUACUGCGCUACAGUCAAGUUUACAACAUCGGUAUAGAAAUCACAUGGGUUGUGGGCCAAGGAUCACGGUACAGAAUACAAAAAGCGAGAUCAAAUAAAAAGAAAAAUAGAGAAAAAGCAAAUCUCUGCUAUUGUACAGGCUGGGAGCAGAGCUGGGAUGUCAGCUGGAGCACCAGAGGUCUCCCCACGGUUGGGGCCCCCCAACCAGCCUCCCUUGGCUCAAUGACAUGCAGGCACAGGCUCCUGGGAUAGGAACCCCACCAAGCAGCAGCAGCUGGUACUUCCAAGCUGGCCAGAAGUCUAAAUCACCAAAGAUUUUCCCUUCCACAUCACCAGAAUAAAAAAAGGGGGGGGGGAAAUAAUAGGGGAAUGUGCACGACACCUUUGGAAUGGAAGAGGACAAAUGAGAGCCCCUUCUUGCCUGGCUACAGCAAAGGUGAAACAGAUGAGUGAUUUAUUGCUAGCAGUGUGAAAAUCCCCUGCUGGGCUCUUCCAUCUCUCCCUCUCUCCAUAGGAGGCUCCGUUCCAGACCUGCCUGCUGUGCACUGGCUGCCAAUGACUCGUGGCCCCUCGGGGCUGACUUCCAGCCCCGCUCCAGCUCCAUCCUCCAGCCCUGCUCCCCACAGAAGAGAAGGGGCUGUGGUGGCAGGAGAGAACCUGGAACUAGAUGAUAUUUAAGGUUCCUUCCAACCCAGGCCGUUUUAUGAUUCUGUGAACCUGCUGUCUCAAAAUACAGUAAGUCCCUGGGAGAGGCUGAAGCCGUGGCAAAGCCCUGCUCGUGGCUCCCCAUCCAGGGACGAUGGAAGCCCAGCCAGGUGUGUCCGUGGAGUUUUGCAAGGAAAGCCACCUCCUUUUGAGAAGACACAGUGGCUGGCGUGGUUACAGAGUCUGUGCUGACUUCUUUACUUUUAAAAUCAAAAUCUUUCCCCGUGUUUUAAAUAUCUGCCAGCGUUACAUUUCUCUACUUAAAAAAAUAUAUAUCCCAUAUGUGGAUUUCUGGAGAGAAACGCAUUGAAACCCCCCCCCCAGUCCCUCCUCCUUCUCUUGCACACACGCACACACGCAGAACAGCUCUGUCAAAUACUGGCUUGGUAUUUCCCACGAUGUUUCCUCCAACAAAGAAAGGGAAAAUACAUCAGCACAAUCAGCCCCAGCUAAGUUGCUCAGCAACACUUCUGAAAAGCGAAGAUCCUUGGAGCUGGAAGACAAGGUGGAUAAAAAUUACCCACCAGGAAAAAAAGCCCAAAAUUUUAAAAAAUUAGAAUUAUAUACUCUGUAUUUAUAUCUCUUUCAGGCUACUUAUACCUCAGUUGUUAAACCCCCAAACGCACACGCUGCCUCUGCUGUUUCCUCUUGCCAGCCUUAGAAAAGGGGUUGGAUUUCACCUCCCUUUUCCCUCCCCUUUCCCAGCCCAAAACCUGCAUGCUGCAACAGCGCCUUUCAGACCAGGAACACGGCUGUGGGUGAGCGAGCGUCUUCCUCCAGGUUAAGAACAAAGACAUUAUUUUUUUUAUUUACAAAAAAAGGAGAAAAAAGUUUCCACACAAAAGCACUACAAUGAUAACUCCCUUUGGUAAAAAGUGUAAUAAAUGUCUCCAUCGGUC